ensembl:lncRNA
AAAUAGGUUGCUCUAAAUGCAGUACAUGCGCAUUUAAGAGCUUUUGCAGAAGCUGAAAACUGUACUGAAAGCAUAGUUGGCUUGCUUGAAGAAAAAAAAAGUUGGAGAGGUCAAGGGUCAUAAAAGUUUGAAGCCUAGCCAGAGUAGUGUUUAAUAGCAGUAUUAUUACAGCGUCCCUGAAAUGUCACCCUUUAUUCACUUCAAGCAUUAAGUGCCUGACAAGCAUGGUGUGAUUUCUUAUCAAAACGAUGUUAAAGUAGGCCUACAACAUUUUUUUUUUUUUGGGGGGGGGACGACACAAUUAGAUAUGAAACUCCAGUCAUGUAUUUCACUUGAAAAAACUGAUUAGAGGCAGUAUUCUUGUAAAUAUAGGUCAAUUCAUUUCAACAAGUUUUUUCCUUCAUACAAAGUAUAUGUGAUUAAGAAAAAUCUGUGGUUGCCAUUUUUUUUUCCUUCUCGGUAAUACAACGUCUUCAAAAUUGAGUGGCAGACUUAGCUAGUAGCACUGAAGGUUAUGUUUUUAAUGUAUAUACAUAUUACUACAAAUGUUUUCUUUUUCAUGUAUAUUUAGACUGUGAAUGCAUGGCCACAGGUCGCUAACCUAUUUUACCUUUGAUAUAUAAAUGUAAAUGUUUUUUCUCUCUUUCUUUCACUCUUUUUUUGGACUGUAUAGAUAUAAUCUGUGCAUUCAGUACACUAGCCCUUGUAUUUAAAGCAACAGAAAAAGAAAAAGAAAAGAAACGACGUUCAUUAUUAGGCUACAGACUUAAACAGGGUGAGCAGGUUUGGGGACAAAAAAAUUUAGAAAAAACCUAAAAAAAAAAAAAAAAAAAAAAAAAAAAGGAGCUGAUAUUUUAACUUUAGUGUUAUGGCUCCUUUUGGUCUCUGACAGGUGCCGUGGUGUGCAUGCGCGUGUGCGAGAACGUGUGUGUGCGUGCGUGCGCGUGUGUGUGCGUUUGGAAGCUAGCAAUUUUGUCCUUGUUUUGAGGCUUUUCUUCAACACACACAUACAAAAAAAACACAAAAAAAACACCAUGUUGUGGUUGAAUUAAAAGGGAUCACUGAUUGAACACUGAUCUUUGGCUGUUCGGAGCCACAUAUGGACCAGAGAAUGAUACAUGAUUGUAAUUAUGAACAGUUUAAACUGACCCACGUUUUUAUAUAAAUAUAUAAAAAUAUAUGACUGCAGGGUAUUGAUAACGUAUAGAUACUUUUUUUUAUCAUUAUUAUUAUUAUUAUUAUUAUUAAUUGCAAGUGAUAUAUGUGAGUGUGUGUGAAAGUUUAUAGUUGAACACAAUUCUUGUUUGUUUGUGUUAGCUUAUUGUAAACAAGCAUUCUGCUGUAAAUUUGUUCUUGGUAUUAAAUUAUAAUUUAUGAAUUUGAAAACA